rnacentral:rRNA from 1 species
GACGAACGCUGGCGGCGUGCUUAACACAUGCAAGUCGAACGGAAAGGCCCUGCCUUUGUGGGGUGCUCGAGUGGCGAACGGGUGAGUAACACGUGAGUAACCUGCCCUUGACUUUGGGAUAACUUCAGGAAACUGGGGCUAAUACCGGAUAGGAGCUCCUGCUGCAUGGUGGGGGUUGGAAAGUUUCGGCGGUGGGGGAUGGACUCGCGGCUUAUCAGCUUGUUGGUGGGGUAGUGGCUUACCAAGGCUUUGACGGGUAGCCGGCCUGAGAGGGUGACCGGCCACAUUGGGACUGAGAUACGGCCCAGACUCCUACGGGAGGCAGCAGUGGGGAAUAUUGCACAAUGGGCGGAAGCCUGAUGCAGCAACGCCGCGUGCGGGAUGACGGCCUUCGGGUUGUAAACCGCUUUCGCCUGUGACGAAGCGUGAGUGACGGUAAUGGGUAAAGAAGCACCGGCUAACUACGUG